rnacentral:rRNA from 1 species
UACGUAGGUGGCGAGCGUUGUCCGGAUUUAUUGGGCGUAAAGCGCGCGCAGGUGGUGCGGUAAGUCUGUCGUGAAAUCUCCUGGCUCAACUGGGAGGGUGCGGUGGAGACUGCCGGACUGGAGGCACUCAGAGGCCGGUGGAAUUCCCGGUGUAGUGGUGAAAUGCGUAGAGAUCGGGUGGAACACCAGUGGCGAAGGCGGCCGGCUGGGGGUGACCUGACGCUGAGGCGCGAAAGCGUGGGGAGCGAACCGG